AUUGAACGCUGGCGGCAGGCUUAACACAUGCAAGUCGAGCGAGCGGCGGACGGGUGAGUAAUGUCUGGGAAACUGCCUGAUGGAGGGGGAUAACUACUGGAAACGGUAGCUAAUACCGCAUACCAUCAGAUGUGCCCAGAUGGGAUUAGCUAGUAGGUGGGGUAAUGGCUCACCUAGGCGACGAUCCCUAGCUGGUCUGAGAGGAUGACCAGCCACACUGGAACUGAGCCACGGUCGCGACUCCUACGGGAGGCAGCAGUGGGGAAUAUUGCACGAUGGGCGCAAGCCUGAUGCAGCGAGGCCGCGUGAAUGAAGAAGGCCGUCGGGUUGUAAAGUUCUUUCGGUAGAGAGGCGUUAACUACAGAAGAAGCACCGGCUAACUCCGGGCCAGCAGCCGCGGUAAUUC
rnacentral:rRNA from 1 species